AGUGAACGCUGGCGGUAGGCCUAACACAUGCAAGUCGAACGGCAGCACAGUAAGAGCUUGCUCUUACGGGUGGCGAGUGGCGGACGGGUGAGGAAUACAUCGGAAUCUACUUUUUCGUGGGGGAUAACGUAGGGAAACUUACGCUAAUACCGCAUACGACCUACGGGUGAAAGCAGGGGAUCUUCGGACCUUGCGCGAUUGAAUGAGCCGAUGUCGGAUUAGCUAGUUGGCGGGGUAAAGGCCCACCAAGGCGACGAUCCGUAGCCGGUCUGAGAGGAUGAUCAGCCACACUGGAACUGAGACACGGUCCAGACGCCUACGGGAGGCAGCAGUGGGGAAUAUUGGGCAAUGGGCGCAAGCCUGAUCCAGCCAUACCGCGUGGGUGAAGAAGGCCUUCGGGUUGUAAAGCCCUUUUGUUGGGAAAGAAAAGCAGCAGGUUAAUACCCCGCUGUUCUGACGGUACCCAAAGAAUAAGCACCGGCUAACUUCGUG
rnacentral:rRNA from 1 species